GAAGGUGUGCUGUGAGGCAUGCUGGAGGUAUCAGAAGUGCGAAUGCUGACAUAAGUAACGAUAAAGCGGGUGAAAAGCCCGCUCGCCGGAAGACCAAGGGUUCCUGUCCAACGUUAAUCGGGGCAGGGUGAGUCGACCCCUAAGGCGAGGCCGAAAGGCGUAGUCGAUGGGAAACAGGUUAAUAUUCCUGUACUUGGUGUUACUGCGAAGGGGGGACGGAGAAGGCUAUGUUGGCCGGGCGACGGUUGUCCCGGUUUAAGCGUGUAGGCUGGUUUUCCAGGCAAAUCCGGAAAAUCAAGGCUGAGGCGUGAUGACGAGGCACUACGGUGCUGAAGCAACAAAUGCCCUGCUUCCAGGAAAAGCCUCUAAGCAUCAGGUAACAUCAAAUCGUACCCCAAACCGACACAGGUGGUCAGGUAGAGAAUACCAAGGCGCUUGAGAGAACUCGGGUGAAGGAACUAGGCAAAAUGGUGCCGUAACUUCGGGAGAAGGCACGCUGAUAUGUAGGUGAAGUCCCUCGCGGAUGGAGCUGAAAUCAGUCGAAGAUACCAGCUGGCUGCAACUGUUUAUUAAAAACACAGCACUGUGCAAACACGAAAGUGGACGUAUACGGUGUGACGCCUGCCCGGUGCCGGAAGGUUAAUUGAUGGGGUUAGCCGCAAGGCGAAGCUCUUGAUCGAAGCCCCGGUAAACGGCGGCCGUAACUAUAACGGUCCUAAGGUAGCGAAAUUCCUUGUCGGGUAAGUUCCGACCUGCACGAAUGGCGUAAUGAUGGCCAGGCUGUCUCCACCCGAGACUCAGUGAAAUUGAACUCGCUGUGAAGAUGCAGUGUACCCGCGGCAAGACGGAAAGACCCCGUGAACCUUUACUAUAGCUUGACACUGAACAUUGAGCCUUGAUGUGUAGGAUAGGUGGGAGGCUUAGAAGUGUGGACGCCAGUCUGCAUGGAGCCGACCUUGAAAUACCACCCUUUAAUGUUUGAUGUUCUAACGUUGACCCGUAAUCCGGGUUGCGGACAGUGUCUGGUGGGUAGUUUGACUGGGGCGGUCUCCUCCUAAAGAGUAACGGAGGAGCACGAAGGUUGGCUAAUCCUGGUCGGACAUCAGGAGGUUAGUGCAAUGGCAUAAGCCAGCUUGACUGCGAGCGUGACGGCGCGAGCAGGUGCGAAAGCAGGUCAUAGUGAUCCGGUGGUUCUGAAUGGAAGGGCCAUCGCUCAACGGAUAAAAGGUACUCCGGGGAUAACAGGCUGAUACCGCCCAAGAGUUCAUAUCGACGGCGGUGUUUGGCACCUCGAUGUCGGCUCAUCACAUCCUGGGGCUGAAGUAGGUCCCAAGGGUAUGGCUGUUCGCCAUUUAAAGUGGUACGCGAGCUGGGUUUAGAACGUCGUGAGACAGUUCGGUCCCUAUCUGCCGUGGGCGCUGGAGAACUGAGGGGGGCUGCUCCUAGUACGAGAGGACCGGAGUGGACGCAUCACUGGUGUUCGGGUUGUCAUGCCAAUGGCACUGCCCGGUAGCUAAAUGCGGAAGAGAUAAGUGCUGAAAGCAUCUAAGCACGAAACUUGCCCCGAGAUGAGUUCUCCCUGACUCCUUGA
rnacentral:rRNA from 1 species